rnacentral:misc_RNA from 1 species
GAUGAAGAACGCAGUGAAAUGCGAUAAGUAAUGUGAAUUGCAGAAUUCAGUGAAUCAUCGAAUCUUUGAACGCACAUUGCGCCCCUUGGUAUUCCGAGGGGCAUGCCUGUUCGAGCGUCAUUAUAACCCCUCAAGCUCAGCUUGGUGUUGGGGCCUGCUGCACUGGCAGCCCUUAAAAUCAGUGGCGGCGCCAUCUGGCUCUAAGCGUAGUAAAUCUCCUCGCUAUAGGGUUCCGGAGGGAUGCUGGCCAACAACCCCCAACUUUUAAGGUUGACCUCGGAUCAGGUAGGGAUACCCGCUGAACUUAAGCAUAUCAAUAAGCGGAGCA